CUCCCUUCAGUCGAAAACUAGACCUUUGGAGUUUCCUGGAUAUCCCUCGAAGUCGCCUUGUCAAAUACCCUUUACUGUUAAAAGAAAUCCUUAGACAUACGGCAAAAGACCACCCAGAUGUUCAGUUGCUGGAGGAAGCAGUAUUGAUAAUACAAGGAGUUCUUUCUGACAUCAACUUGAAGAAAGGUGAAUCCGAGUGUCAGUAUUACAUCGACAAGCUGGAAUACCUGGACGAGAAGCAGAAGGACCCCAGGAUCGAAGCGAGCAAAGUGCUGCUGUGCCAUGGGGAGCUGAAGAAUAAAAGUGGCCAUAAACUGUACAUUUUCCUGUUUCAAGACAUCUUGGUUUUGACUCGGCCUGUCACACGAAAUGAGCGUCACUCUUACCAGGUUUACCGGCA